rnacentral:rRNA from 1 species
GUGUCAGCCGCCGCGGUAAUACGAAGGGGGCUAGCGUUGCUCGGAAUUACUGGGCGUAAAGGGCGCGUAGGCGGGUCGUCAAGUUGGGGGUGAAAGCCCGGGGCUCAACCUCGGAAUUGCCUUCAAAACUGACGACCUAGAGUAUGGCAGAGGUGUGUGGAACUCCGAGUGUAGAGGUGAAAUUCGUAGAUAUUCGGAAGAACACCAGUGGCGAAGGCGACACACUGGGCCAUUACUGACGCUGAGGCGCGAAAGCGUGGGGAGCAAACAGGAUUAGAUACCCUGGUAGUCCACGCCGUAAACGAUGAGUGCUAGUUGUCGGCAUGCAUGCAUGUCGGUGACGCAGCUAACGCAUUAAGCACUCCGCCUGGGGAGUACGGUCGCAAGAUUAAA